CAGAGUUUAGUGGUUUCAAAAGUUAACUGAUAUAAAUGCAACUAGACUUGGUAUUGAUAAGAUAACUAACCCAAAUCAGCAGUGGGGAAGAAGCUACCAUUGAGGCCCUGGGAGAGUUAGAGCUGAGGACAAAGAUCAAGAGCUGAGUCCCCCUGUCCUCACAGGGUGAGUUGAAAGGGCAAAAGCCAGCUCAGAGUGGAGAUUGUAGAUUCGGGUCCAGCUGGGCAAGCCAGUGGAUGGGCAGAUGUCAGUCAAGUAGGACCUGACAACAGUGGGAGACCACCUAGCUGAAUCAUGAAGGACAAAUGAGAGUUUUCUGCCUGUCUAUUCCUGAUGCAGGUAUUGGGCAUUAGGUCAUGUGUUGGUUGAAUCCUUGAUGUCAUUGCCAUCUGAGUGCUAGGUGUCCAUCAAUUAAUGGGGUAUAAGAGAAAGAGUAAGACUUUUUCCUCAGUUUGUUGUGUUGGAUAAGUUAUUGAUCUGGCUUCUCAAUUCUCCCUUAUACAUUUACAGGUCAGAGCCUUUUCUGCUACAAGAAAUAUGUCAUUUAUCAUUUGUGUUGCAUAGUUGGUUAUUUCUGUGCAUCUGGUGAUCUACGUGAAAAUUGUUCUCCAUCUUCAAAAUGAACUCAAAGCUAUAUGUGAAAUAGAGUCUCCUGGGCAAAGCAUCAGCUCUAUUUUAUACCAUGUGGAGUCACAGUAAGUCAGACUCUGAUUGUAGCACAUGGACACAUAGACACAUGGACAUUUCUUUCUCAGGCUCUGCCUUAGGCUGGCUCUGUCAUCUGAGGUACCUUGACUAACUCAAAUCUCAUGUUGUUGUGUGACAGCCAGUAUUCAGGGGAAUGAAUGGAGGCUUAUAAAUGACAAGACAUUCCUGAAAAUUUUGUGUUUGGUCACCAGGCUAGGCUAUAGUCUGCACCACAUGCUACUGCCACCCACUCUUUUUAAAAUUUAACUAUAAAAAUCAAAAUACAAUUGUAUCACUUCUUUUUUCCUUCUUCCACUCCCCUUGCCCCCUAACUCUAUUGUGAAAUCAUAGCCUCUUAAAAACUUAUAUUGGAAUAAUUUCUAAAUAUAUGAAUAAGACUGCUUAGCCCAUUUCAUAUAGCUUGCAUGUAUAUGAUUUUAGGGUUGACUACUUGGUAUUGGAUAAUCCAUUAGGGGGCUCACCCUGGGGGAAGACUAUUUCUCCCAAUCUCAUCAUUCUUUAGUUGCCUAUAGUUCUUUGUCAAUAGGUGGAUCCCCAUGAGAUUUCCCUCUUCCAUGUUAGCAUGUCUAUUUGUAAUGCCCUUCUGCAGGUCUUGUUUAGGCUGCCAUAUUGUUCACAUGUCAUUUCUUGGUGACACAAUCUCACAGCAGAUUUCCCAGCCCUCUGGUUCUUAGCCUUUCCAUCCCUCUUCCACAAUGUUCCCUGAGCCUUGUGCAGAGAAUGUGUUAUAGGUGUUUCUUCUGGGGCUGGGUUCCCCAAGGUCAUUUGUUUUCUGCAUUUCAACCAGUUGAGGGUUUCUGUAAUGGUCUCCUCUGUUGCUAUGAGAAAUUUCUUGGGAGAGAACUGCACUUAUCUGUGGGCCUAAGGACAAGUAUUUAGAAUGGAGUUAGGGAAUAUACUGGCUUAGUAAAGUGGUGAUAAAAAGUUCUUUGAGCUCCAUGACUUCACUAGCCCCAGGCAGUUGGCUAGGUUUCCAGUACCUGGCAGAUUUCCCUCCUGUUGGUUGGACUUAAAUUCCAAUGAAUGAACAGUUGGUUACCCCCAAGAUGUGAGUGCUACUUCUGUACACACUGGGUUAUUACUUCAUCGUGUUUGUCACUGUGUUCCUAAGCUUCACACUGGGUAUGACUGUUGGUUCCCUCCCUUGGAGACUUACACAGCAGCUUCUGGGACUAUGGAAGCUAGCCCUCAAAGAGUAAGCCUUCAAGUGAGUUCCAUCUUGGGUUCUCCAGGUCUUAUGUCUGAAGUGAGUGGUACAUUCCUCCAUAGGAACUUAUCUCUAACCUCUGGGAGACAAUCAAGGGUAACAGCAUUAGCCUAUGCUAUUUUGGGAAUUCUUUGAACUCUUCUGAACACCUUGAAAGUGGGUGUCUUAGGGUUGCCAUUGCUGAGAAGAAACAACAUGAUCAAGGCAACUCUUAUAAAGGCAAACAUUUAAUUAGGGCUGGCUUACAGUUUCAGAGGUUCAGUCCAUUAUCAUGACAGGAAGCAUGGCAACCUGCAGGCAGACAAUGUGCUGGAGUAGUCAAGAGUUCUAUAUCUUGAUUCGGAGGUAGCCAGAAGGAGGGUUUCUUUCCUCACUGAGUGAAACUUGAGCAUAGGAAUCUCAAAGCCCACCCCCACAGUGAUACACAUCAUCCAACAAGGCCACAGCCUUCAACAUUGCCAAGCUGCUCAUAGUGCUACUCCCUGGGCCAAACAUACUCAAACCACCACCAGGGGUUUCUCAUGCCUGGUGUUGAGGCUGUUAGUUUAUGGCUCUUCUGGGCCAAGUGGGGAGGAAUUAUUGGCAGCACAAUUGACAUAUGUUUAGUUAAAUAAUAUGUGUAGAGAGCAGAGAAUGCUGUGAGUGCCUGAAGUCCCAAGUAAAUGUGUGUUGUCCAUGGGCAGGGCCAUGGUGAGGACUCCAAUGCCUAAGGUUCGCAGGAGCGGCAUAUCCUUACCAGGACGAGGCUGGAGGGAUUAUGAAGCUUUUCUUGGUGUCUGAGUAUGAGUGUUUAUAGAGAUUGAUCAGUGUAUGCAGAGACUAGCAACUAAGGCUUCCUCUUCCAGGAUGUUUAUAGUCUGAGGCUGCUAGACUACAGAGACAUCCUACAGAGCUAGAUGACCCUCUGUCUGUGCUGAUGUAAUAAACAUGCUGAGGUUAUGGGCUGCUGGUGGUAGUACAUACUUCCAUCAGAGUAAACACACCCCUACCUUGACCCCAGCUUUCCUGCGUUUCGUGUAUGUCUGUCCUUUCUUCAUUGUCUUACCAUCCUAUGGAUUCUAGCACCCAUGCCUAUGCAUGGGUCACAGCAUACAUGUCUGUGUGUAUUUAUGUCUAUUGUGUAAUUAUGUAAUUAUGUCAGAGACUUAGUACUGCAUGUUUUUCCUUUCCUGUGACUAAUGAUGGUGAACACCUUUUUGUGUGUGUCUUUAUUACCUUUUAUGACCAUUUUGGAGAAAUAGUAAAUCAAAUUCUUUACUCACUGUUCUUUAGUCAGGUUUUGUUGUUGAGUUGUAGGAACUCUUUAUAUAUUCUGGGAGA
rnacentral:lncRNA from 1 species